rfam:Leucoagaricus sp. SymC.cos contig33947, whole genome shotgun sequence.
GCCGAGAUAGUUUAAUUGGUAAAACGGACUCCUUGUAAGAUUUUAAUAUUGGUUCAAGACCAGUUUUCGGCA